UUUUUUUUUUUUUUUUUAAUUUUAAACCCAGUGAAGGUAAGCAGAGGAGAGGUGGGUGGGUGGGAAAAUCCGAUAAUGUUACUCUUUCGACAUCUCAGAGUAAAUUACGUUAUUUUGCAUAAACUCGUGCAUGUUAUGUGCCAAUUAGGAUGGGCUGUGUUAUGCCCUGUGAUUGGUCAAAGCACAGAACAGAGUCAUACAAGGUUUUCAAUUGGUUCACAGUAUGUUUCACGGUUUGUUCACGUGAAUGUGUGCUAGCUGGCAGAAAAUGAUCUUUGACCUAUCUGUCAAGAUCUUUGACCAAACUGCCAAAGAUUAGGUUGAUAUAAACCAUAUCUACCUCCUCAUCUUACCAUCACACCUUGUCUCAUUAACUUAAAUUUAUAUAGGCUAUAAAUUUGCUUAAAUA
rnacentral:lncRNA from 1 species